CUCUAUUUCAUAAAUUAUCCUUUUAAUCUUUUUAUUUUAUUUUAUUUUAAUUAAUUGUUUAAAAGAAAUCAGUUGAUCUUUUUCUAACCCUAGCCUCCAGCUGUUGAAAGCCUUUCCCUCUUUACUUGCCAACCGCCACCUUCAACCCAUUGAACCCUCCCUCAAUUCUCGAUUUUUCUUAUCAUUUCUUCAUCUAACUUCCCCCAAUCACCCAUUCAUCACCUUCCUCUUUCUUUCUCCUUUAUUCUUGAUCAAAAUCCCCAAAUUCAUCCCGAUCUACCCUAACAAAACCCUCAAUUUUCCGCCAACAUGGAUGGAUUUGAAGCUAUGACCUUCAACAUUCAUGGAGGAUACUUGGAAGCCAUUGUUAUAGGUCACGGAUCUGGAUUGUUAAUUGUUGCUGAUUACAAUAAUUUGUAUCAGUGUGAGACUCUUGAUGAUAUCAAGAUGCAUCUCUCUGCUAAUGAUUAUGGCCCUUAUCUUCAAAAUGAUUGAACAAAGAUAAUGAAAACUUUUGCUUUCAGAAAUCAAGAAAGGCGAAUCUUAUUCAUUUGUUUUUUUUUUUUUCAUUACUUAUUGUAAUUAAAAUACUUGUAUUUUACUGUAAAUUCAUUAUUAAUAAAAAUAUUCUUAUUCAAAGAUUUGCAGA